rnacentral:rRNA from 1 species
AUGUUCGACUGCACCAAGCUGAGCGCCUACUACGGCCUGCAGGUGGCGUGCCCUCAGGAGCUGCGCAAGGUGACGGGCAUGAGGAGCGCGUCGAUGGAGAGCAUGGGGGAGCAGGUCCUCGGCUGGCGCGGGGUGAACAAAGCGCAGCGGGUGGGCGCCGGCAAGUGGGAUGUCUCAGGUGAGGUACGCGCCCGCCGACGCCUUCAUCUCGUAUUGCCUCGGGUCGAGUGCUUGAAUUUGCCCGGUUCAGCUUUGUUCAGAGCUACUUAUGGAUCAGCUGCUUAUGGAUCACCAAGCUACUUAGACUACUUGCUUAUUAGUUAG